CAAUAGCGUAUAUUAAAGUUGUUGCAGUUAAAAAGCUCGUAGUUGGAUUUCGGGGCAGCCUGGCUGGUCCGCCGCAAGGCGAGUACUGGUCAGCCGCCCUUCCUCUCGAAAGCCCCGACUGCUCUUUAUUGCAGUGGUCGGGUAGUUCGGGACGUUUACUUUGAAAAAAUUAGAGUGUUCAAGGCAGGCCUACGCCUGAAUACAUUAGCAUGGAAUAAUGGAAGAGGACCUCGGUCCUAUUUUGUUGGUUUCCAGGACCGAAGUAAUGAUUAAGAGGGACAGUUGGGGGCAUUCGUAUUUAAUUGUCAGAGGUGAAAUUCUCGGAUUUAUGAAAGACGAACAACUGCGAAGGCAUUUGCCAAGGAUGUUUUCAUUAA
rnacentral:rRNA from 1 species